GAAUUUUCCGCAAUGGGCGCAAGCCUGACGGAGCAAUACCGGGUGAGGGAAGACGGUAAAUAAAUUGUAAACCUUUUUUUUCAGAGAAGAAGACAUGACGGUAUCUGAAGAAUAAGCAUCGGCUAACUCCGUGCCAGCAGCCGCGGUAACACGGAGGAUGCAAGCGUUGUCCGGAAUUAUUGGGCGUAAAGCGUCUGCAGGUGGUUUAGAAAGUCUGCUGUUAAAGACUGGGGCUUAACCCCAGGAAAGCAGUGGAAACUACUAGACUAGAGUAUGGUAGGGGUAGAGGGAAUUCCCAGUGUAGCGGUGAAAUGCGUAGAUAUUGGGAAGAACACCAGUGGCGAAAGC
rnacentral:rRNA from 1 species